rnacentral:rRNA from 1 species
CCUACGGGAGGCAGCAGUGGGGAAUUUUGGACAAUGGGCGAAAGCCUGAUCCAGCAAUGCCGCGUGCAGGAUGAAGGCCUUCGGGUUGUAAACUGCUUUUGUACGGAGCGAAAAGGCUUUCUCUAAUACAGGGGGCUCAUGACGGUACCGUAAGAAUAAGCACCGGCUAACUACGUGCCAGCAGCCGCGGUAAUACGUAGGGUGCGAGCGUUAAUCGGAAUUACUGGGCGUAAAGCGUGCGCAGGCGGUUCUAUAAGACAGGCGUGAAAUCCCCGGGCUCAACCUGGGAAUUGCGUUUGUGACUGUAGAGCUGGAGUACGGCAGAGGGGGAUGGAAUUCCGCGUGUAGCAGUGAAAUGCGUAGAUAUGCGGAGGAACACCGAUGGCGAAGGCAAUCCCCUGGGCCUGUACUGACGCUCAUGCACGAAAGCGUGGGGAGCAAACAGGAUUAGAUACCCUGGUAGUCCACGCCCUAAACGAUGUCAACUGGUUGUUGGGUCUUCACUGACUCAGUAACGAAGCUAACGCGUGAAGUUGACCGCCUGGGGAGUCGGCCGCAAGGUUGAAACGUCAAAGAGUAGUUAGGCGNGNGAGAGCGACGACGACGACGACGGAGGGAGGAGG